rnacentral:rRNA from 1 species
GGUCAAUAGCCUAACGGCUGAACCAGCAACUUGGAGGAAUGUAUAGCUAAAGCUAAUUGUAUUUUUUUUUAAAGACAGAUUCGAUUUAAUCGUAUAAAGUUCUAGGUAGAAUUAUGAUAAUGACGUUAUCUAUCUAUAAGUCUUGACCAACAUGCGUGCCAGCAGUCGCGGCAAGACGCUAAAGACUAGUGUUAUUCAUCUUUAAUAGGUUUAAAGGGUACCUAGACGGUAAAUCAAGCCUUAACCGGAACUAAUUUAACUAGAGUUAGAUGUAAGGGUGCAUUAACGUACUGUUGAGUGUAGAGAUGAAAUUCUUUGAUACCAGAUGAUUGGCACGGGUUUAGGCGAAAGCAUCACCUUAUGUAAUAACUGACGUUGAGGGACGAAGGCUUUGUAUCGCGAACAGGAUUAGGCACCCCAGUAGUCUAAGCAGAAAAUGAUGAGUGUCAUAGGUUAAAUAAAAUAUUAAUUAAUCUAUAAAUGAAAGUGUAAGCAUUCCACCUCAAGAGUAAUUUGGCAACAUUGGAAUUGAAAUCAUUAGACCGUUUCUGAAACCAGUAGUGAAGUAUGUUGUUUAAUUAGAUUAUACACAAAGAACCUUACCACAAUAUGAAUAUUAUACAAGCGUUGCACGGCUGUCUUCAGUUAAUGUCGUGAGAUUGUGGCUAGUACCAUUAAUUAACGUCUACCCUUGCUUUAUUUUAUUAUAUAUAAAGUAGUCCGCCACUAUAAAGGAUAGAUAAUAGGGAGUAAGACAAGUCAUCAUGGCCUUAAUAUUGUGGGCUAUA